CACGCAGGCGGCCGAGUAAGUCGAAUGUGAAAGCCCCCCGGCUCAACUGGGGAUGGUCAUUCGAUACUGUUCGGCUUGAAGAUAGGAGAGGGAAGUGGAAUUCCCGGUGUAGUGGUGAAAUGCGUAGAUAUCGGGAGGAACACCAGUGGCGAAGGCGGCUUUCUGGCCUAUUCUUGACGCUGAGGUGCGAAAGCUAGGGGAGCGAACG
rnacentral:rRNA from 1 species